AGUGAACGCUGGCGGUAGGCCUAACACAUGCAGGUCGAACGGCAGCACAGUAAGAGCUUGCUCUUACGGGUGGCGAGUGGCGGACGGGUGAGGAAUACAUCGGAAUCUACUUUUUCGUGGGGGAUAACGUAGGGAAACUUACGCUAAUACCGCAUACGACCUACGGGUGAAAGCAGGGGAUCUUCGGACCUUGCGCGAUUGAAUGAGCCGAUGUCGGAUUAGCUAGUUGGCGGGGUAAAGGCCCACCAAGGCGACGAUGCGUAGCUGGUCUGAGAGGAUGAUCGGCCACACUGGAACUGAGACACGGUCCAGACUCCUACGGGAGGCAGCAGUGGGGAAUAUUGGGCAAUGGGCGAAAGCCUGACGCAGCAACACCGCGUGAGUGAUGAAGGUCUUCGGGUUGUAAAGCUCUGUUGUUAGGAAAGAAAAGAAGCAUGUUAAUCUCCGGACGUCUUGACGGUACCUAAAGAAUAAGCACCGGCUAACUACGUG
rnacentral:rRNA from 1 species